ACAUGCCUACAACAUAGGGUUAAUGCACUGAAUCCCAUUUUAACUCUGUAGUUAAGCUUGAUCAAGCUAGAGUAGUAUUGGGAUGGGUGACCGCUUGGGAAGUCCUAGUGUUUUACAUGCC
rnacentral:rRNA from 1 species